CUCGGACCCCUCCCAUCCUCCUCCGCCCCACUCUGUGUCAGAGGCUGGGGCCCCGGGCCGGAUUUCGGGCGGCGGGUCCGGGUGGCGGGGCUGGAGGGUGUGGACCCGCGCAGCGCUCAGCAGGCCGUGUCCGGCUGGGCGCUGCAGCUGCCGCCGCCGCCGCCCAAGGCCCUCGGCAUCCCCCGGAGAGAGACCAGAGCGAUUCCGGGCCGUCCCGGCGCUCGCUCAGGUGUUCGCCCUUCGUAUCCUGCUCCUGCAUCAAUGCAGUACCCCAGAUCGCCCUCCUGCAUGGAAGCGCUACCCAUCUCUUUGGGGUCUGAUGCCUUCCACUUGGGUUCUGACACCCUGCACCAGGCAACCUGCCUGUGUGGAU
rnacentral:lncRNA from 1 species